AAAAUACUAAGCUGAAAGGUAUAGUGUAUAUACCGAGGACCUGGUGCAUAGCCAUGCAGACCCUGUGCUUGCUGCUUUCCUGCUUCAGUCUAUCUGCCUGCAGCUGUCAGAAAUGUGGCACAAAGUUAUAUGUUCAGAGCAAACUACCAGAUGUGGUCAAGAGACAAACCAAUAAGACCCUUCCUGAUCAUCAUCCAGUUGGUGUCAUGUCUCCCUCUCAAAACAAAACAGACAACAACAAAAACAAACAAAUAAAAGCAACAGCCAUGGAGUCUAGUUUGUGUUGGCUCACUAAUCCUGAGCAUGAGGCCUACCCUGGAGUGUGGUACGUGUACCAGAGAUCAGUACUUCAAAGAAAACAACUGAUUUUCCCUCUUCCAGAAGCAAUCAAAUGUCAAUACCUCCUUAGCUAGGGUUAGGAGAGAAAAGCAGCAAGCGAUGGGAGAAUUACAGGGAAGAGUUUCAGAGCAAUUGGAAUAAGAAGAUAAUAGAGGUACACAAAUCGAUAAGUAGUUUGUCCAAUAUUUGCCAAAGGAUGUUCUGAAAAUAAUGUGUUAUUAUUG
rnacentral:lncRNA from 1 species